GGAGGGUUGGCCGAGUGGUCUAAGGCGGCAGACUUAAGAUCUGUUGGACGGUUGUCCGACGCGAGUCCGAACCUCGCAUCCUUCA
rnacentral:tRNA from 1 species